rnacentral:rRNA from 1 species
AGAGUUUGAUCAUGGCUCAGACUGAACGCUGGCGGCAGGCCUAACACAUGCAAGUCGGACGGUAGCACAGAAGAGCUUGCUCUUCGGGUGACGAGUGGCGGACGGGUGAGUAAUGUCUGGGAAACUGCCUGAUGAGGGGGAUAACUACUGGAAACGGUAGCUAAUACCGCAUAACCUCGCAAGAGCAAAGUGGGGGACCUUCGGGCCUCACGCCAUCGGAUGUGCCCAGAUGGGAUUAGCUAGUAGGUGGGGUAACGGCUCACCUAGGCGACGAUCCCUAGCUGGUCUGAGAGGAUGACCAGCCACACUGGAACUGAGACACGGUCCAGACUCCUACGGGAGGCAGCAGUGGGGAAUAUUGCACAAUGGGCGCAAGCCUGAUGCAGCCAUGCCGCGUGUAUGAAGAAGGCCUUCUGGUUGUAAAGUACUUUCAUCGGGGAGGAAGGCGGUGAGGUUAAUAACCUUACCGAUUGACGUUACCCGCAGAACAAGCACCGGCUAACUCCGUGCCAUUAUCUGCGUUAAUACG